UGAAAAGAAGGUAGAAAGAAAAUUAGUUAAAUUAGUUUUGCAACUAGUGCAUUUCAUGCGGCUAAAAUUUAUCAUUUUAAAGGUUUUCAAUCGAGUAGAGUUAGGGUAUAAUGUGAGUGAGAGAACGGCGGUACGGCGGAAAUUGCGAGACGAACACUUUUGAGGUUUAGAACUGGUUUUCGAGUGUCAGUGAGGGGUACUGAGAGAGCGAGUGCAAUGUGGCCAGAGAAUGGGAAUUUAGAGGUAGAGAAUGAGCGUCGGGAUGGAGAAUGAGAGAUACGCCGUGGUAGGAAGGUCAAAACAGGUAUGGGGAGCUAUGUUCUAUGGCUGUUUAAGUAUUUUACUUGUGUUCUAUUUUUGGUUUGGGAUUGUAUGGUUGUGAUGAUAGUGAGUUGAAUUGGAUGUUUCUAUAAUUCUGAAGUAUUUGUAAAAGGGUAUGGUGUGAUUGUUGUUUGUCCAGUAUUGUUGAUCUCAAACAGAAAAUGUUAAACUCUGGAACCGUUGGUUGUCUCUAAAGUAAUGUUAAUCUGUGAAAUGUUGAGUAUUGGUCUAAAACAAUAGGUAGUCUAAAUGGAGUAACUUGUGAUUGCGUAAUUACUUGGCAGACUUUGAAAUUAUGUGAGAUUCGGGAACAUUGUAUUGUUUGGAAUAUUUUAUUUUAAAUUGAAAAUGAACUUAUAAGCAAAGAAAUGUUUAUUAUAUCAAUCAAUGCUCGGGUUGGAUAUUUUUAUAAUGUGAUUGUGCUUUCCGUGUUUGAGCAUGGUUGAUAUGCAUUUACAAACGACUGGGCAUGUGUUUAGAGUUAAAUUAAAUUAUGAAUGGCUGUAUGAACUGAAUUGAGUUAAACUGAAACCUUAUUAGGCAGUUCAGAAACUUGAUAAUGUAGUGAUCACAUCGUUCUUGUUCUGUUUUACUCGCCUGUUAAUCAAUUAAAGGAAACAGAUCUGUUUUGGGGUAGUAGGCGAAAGCUGAAUGAAGUUUUAUAAUGAGAUAUUAGGGGCUGGUGGGUUAUAAUAGGUUGAGAGUAACUGGGCAUUAGACGUUGACGUGCCAAGUUGGUUGGACAUGCUACUUGUUACAUGAUACUCAUAUAUGACUGGAUGAUUUGAUUACUUGCGUUUUCUGGAAUGAAUUUGAGUAAUAGUAAGUUUAUCAGUGAUUACUAGGUGAGACUUUGAUGGAAAAAUGGUUUUAAGCUAAGGCCAGGUUAUGCUAUACGUAUAUACUGUUGAAUGAAUGCACUGAUCUUGCCAUUUGAAACUAAUCAGUAAGACAUGAUUAAUUGGUAAAUGUGCAUGUUCUAAUCAUCCUGAAAGGAAAAUAUGGUUGAACUAAAUAGGAUAGUUUGGUAAUCUGAUUGUGAAGAAUGGAAAACUGAAUGUAUAAGGUCCGUUUACGAAUGGUUAAUUAUGUAUGGAGAAUGUCUCUCUGUGAAUGUUUGCCAAUCACGUAUUGGAUGCCAGGUUGCAACUGAACACUGUAGGGUGUAUUUGAGCAUGGGUAGAAUGUGUAAUUCUGCCUUAGGAGCAGAUUGAUAAAGGGUGGAGACGUUAAUUUGAUUGAGUACCUUGCAUCAGUUUAAAUGAUGUUUUAAAGUGGAUGAAUGCAUAACUGACAAUGUGUAAUAUGUAAAGUGGUUGUGGUGGGCGUGAAUGUUAUUUACGUGCAGAUCUCAGUGUGUUUGAUGAUGUAAUGCAGAUUUAUGACGGGUGUGUUAUGAUGAACUUGUUUUGGUAUUGCAAGAGUUUGCAACAUCACGUAUGGGGAUGAUGGUUAUGAACCUUACCUUAAAUUGUGACUGUGAUACUAUGCUCUGGGUUUUGGUAAAGUAUUGUAAACUGUUAAAUGUGAUAUGUGGCUGGUUGUAGAUAUUGCAAAGGUUGUACAUGUUUUAGGUUAUGUUCAAGUGAUCUAAAUUAGUCAUAUUGUAUUAUAAAUGAUCAUAGAAGUGUUAGAUUGAUUUGUGUAGUUUAUUGAUUGGUUUAAUAUGUUGCUGUGUUGUCUAUUCAAAUGGUCGUCUUUAGUAUGUAUUGGGAUUUUAAAAAAGAAUUGUAAUUUUAAUGUAUUGGGUUUCAAACAAUUUUGUAAUUGUGUACAUUUGGAUUUUCCUAUUGAGUUUUUUAAAUAUUAAAUAAUACUGGUUUAUUGUAUAAUUAAAAUCAAUUUAUUAUAGAAAUCAUUCUUGGGUUUUCGAAAUUGUUAAGGUUAAGUGACUUCUAAAUUUGGAGCGUUACAUUUGGUAUUAGAGUUAGGUUUUUGAAAAAAAAUUUGGACCGUGAGGAGUGAGUUCGUCUAGUUUCUAAUGAGCACUCUAAUUGUUGUAGAGUUUUAGGUUGUGAAUGAUUGAUUGAGAUGUAAUUGAUUGUUUAUGUAGUUGGUUCCAUACUUGACAUGAAUUUUGACCUUGAAAUUCCUUGAGUCUUUUGGAAUGUGAGUAUCAUGUGACUUGGGCCAUGCAUAAAGUUGAAUUUCCAUAUACAUAUUUGUCAUGAACCUGCUAAGGCUGGAUGGAUUAGUUAGUUGGAUGAGUUGAGUAUCGGGAGCUGACUUGUAUUUGGUUGUUUAGAUGCUUUGAAAUCUGCGUUCUUGUUUGUUCCUGAUUCGUAAUUAUGGUAUUGUUAGUACAUCGUAUGCAUAUUCAGUUGAUAAAGUGUGUGUCAUAUCAUUGAUUCUAAUUCUAUAAUGUUUGACGCCUUUAAGUUUUGUAAAGAUGACAAUUGAUUUGAAUUUGAGUUCUGGAAUUUGGAAGUACAUACUGUAUUCUGUUUCAAUUGUUAAACAAUGUGGAUUCUGGUUACGUGUUUUGAAAUUACUUCCUGGCUGAUAGCUUAUGUGGCCAUCUGAAUUUAAUAUCCUGCCAUGCUGGAUUUACUCUGUUUCUAUUGAUGUGUGUAGUAGAUAUGGACAAAUUCGUGAUAUAUGUAUAUGUUCUAUUUUGAGAAAAGAGAACUUUGAGUGUUAGAAUGGGAUGUAGAUGGUUAAACUUGGUGGACUGUGAUACGUAAUAUAUGGUGUACUUGAGUGGAUGGUUUGGUUCUUUUAAGCUGUAACAUAGUUUUCUUAAGAACUCAGAAAUUGUCAUGAAUGCUGUUAUGUGAUACAUUGACUGAAGAAUGCUUGACGUAUGCUUUAACUGGUUUGAAUUCAAAGCUCCUUGAAACUGUGAUAGUCUAGGUUCUAUAUUAAUAUAAGGGUCUUUUAUGCACAUGUCACAAAAAAGUCAGAAUUUGACCGUCUAGUUGGGGCGGACUAUUUGAACUAAACCAAAAUUGAAUGAAGAACUGCAUGUUACAAAAUGUUGUGGGUAGAAUGGAAUAAGGAGUUAUAUAAUGUUCUGAUAUGGGGGUAAGCUUUGCAUGAGAUGUAGGUAUGUAGAACAGGAUAUUGAAAUCUGAAUGAACUUAGUAUUUGACCCUAAAUCCUAAAAUGGUAUAAUACAAUUGUUAAUGACUCUCUCGGAAAUUGUUUUGACCUUGGUAUGGAAAUCUGAUUUUAUUUCUGAAAACAGAUUGCUUUGAAAUGUUAUAAUGUAUGCGUAAUAUGCUUGAUAAGAUUGUAUAUUGAGUGUAUGCAGUCAUUAUGGUGAAAUGCUAGUAAUUCUCUAUGUCCUGUAAUUAGCUGGGAUGAUUCUGGUGAAAUAAAGGGAUUAUUAGCUGAAUAACAGAUAUGCUAUAGUUGCCAUUUCAUGUGAGUAUAAGCUGUUUUCCAUAACCAUGAGGCAGAAAAACUGGCGGUGAUGUGUGGUUUUGAUAGAGAACUCUGCACUAGAGAACCUUGAAGUUUGACUUAAAUACUGCACCCAAAAUCCGUUUGUUUUGAACCCAAUAUCUUUCAUUAAAACGCUGCUGUUUUGCACUAGGCUUUUAGGCUCUUUUCUGCAUCAAAUAAGUGUUGUUCUGCAUUGUUGGCUGGCUGUUUAAGCAUUGUAUUAUUGUUGUUUUUACACUGUUUUAAUUACUGUUUCUGGACUAGAAAGUCUUGCUGUUUGGAUUAAAAUUUCUGCACCAAAACAUUGCUGUUUUGGUUAAAUUGCUGCAGGGAAUUCUUUGCUGUUUAGAAUAAAAAUCUGUAGAAACUAGGUGCUGUUUUAGAAUAAGUAUCUGCAGAACAUUGGUGCGGUUUUAGAAUAUAAAUCUGCAGAAAAUUGGUGCUGUUUUAGAAAGAACUCUGCUGAAAAUUUUUUGCUGUAUAAGAUGGCUUUGGAUUCAUGUCUGUUUAAUAUUAGGAAAAGAGUAUAAUAUAUUUCAAAUAGAAGUAGGCUUAACUCUGGAACAAUAAUCUGAUUUAUGUUGUUCAAAACCUUUAUGCAUACUAGUGUGUGACUUAUGGAUGUCCGAAUUAUAAUUGGCAUUAUUUCAGCAAAAAUAUGAUUGAAUGUGUUAUGGUAUACGUGUUGGAUGAUGGAAUACUGUCUUGGUUUGCCUUGACAAAUUUUCUUUGAGUAUCAAUGGGUAUACUAAAAAAUUUGCAUUACAACAUACUAAAACAACACAUUAAAACACAACGCCACUGUUAGAUGGUAGAACUGAAAGUGAUUACAAAUUGGAAAUGCAAAACCAAAGUACAAAGAUUGAAUAUUGAAAAGCUAUAUGUUCCUUCGACACAAAGGACAAGUGUGAUUGAUGUCGAGCCAUUUUUUGAUGCAGUGGUGAUGAAAGAUAUGAGAACAUGGGUGGGGUAUGCGAAUUGCUCUUGAUCCAAUUGCAAUUUCCUCAAGACAUAUACUGCAGGAAUCUUCUGUUUUUUCUUCAAUUAUAAACUUUUCAAGAUUUUUCAAAGAAUUAUAGUUGUUUUGCACGGAAUCAAAGAUCAAAACAUUAUCUUGGUUUGAUCUUAAACUUCUAUUGUUAUUGUUUUGCAUGUUGCUGCCACCCAAGCUCAUGGAAUCAAAGAUAUAAACUUCACCAUCUUCUUCACCUGAUCUUAAAUUUCCACUAUGGGCGAUAUUGCGGUGAUCCUGAAUCACAAAUUCGAUGAUAAAGCCAUCAUCUUCAAUUGACCACUGCAUUGUCAUUCCUGUUACACAAAAAAGAUAGGAGAAAUCAAAACUUGAAAGAUCGAAUGGGGUAGUUUAUUAAGAAAAGAGUACACAAAAUCAUUUGAAAAAUCUAAUAACUUGUUUGAUGUAGGAGAGUUCCUCACUUUGAGAUCACCUUAUACUAUAGAGUUAACUUUUGUUUUGAGAGUUUGAAGCUUUUCUUUCUUUUUUCUCACAAUGAAAUGAAUGACUCAUGGAAGGUAGUAUAUAUAAUAAAAUUUAAUGAAAUAUAAUAAAUUAAAAGAUACAAUCUUGACAACUAUAGUCAUAUACAAAUUAACGUAAUUAAAUAAUAUAUUAUUAAAUUACAUUUAAGUUGGUUUCAUGUAUAGUCAUUAUUCAAAGUCAAAUCAUAAUAGAUAUAGUAAAUUGAAAAUGAUAUUAGUUAGUUAGAUAUUAAUUGGACUCUGAGUAAUGUAUCUUGAUUAUAAUUUUACAUUUAAAGUAUAAAAAAGGAAACAUUAAUAAUAGAAAAAUACAACCUUAUCUAUAUUUAAUUUGAUUAUCAUAUACAAAUUAUAGUAAUUAAGUAGUAUAUUAUUAAAUUGCAUUUAAGUUGGUUUCAUUAUUCAAAAUCAAAUCAAAAUAGUUAGACUAAGAAUUAAAAGAUAUUAGUUAAUUACAUAUUAAUUAGGCUCUAAGUAAUGUAUCUUGAUUAUAAUUUUACAUUUAAAAUAUAAAAAAAAGGAAACUUUAAAAAUAGAAAAAGUAAUCUUAUAUAUAUUUAAUGUUGGCUGGCUGUUUCGGCGUGUUGUAUUAUUGCUGUUUUUACAUUGUUUUUAUUACUGUUUAUGGACUAGAAAGUCUUGCUGAUUGGAUUACAAUUUCUGCACUAAAAGAUUUUUGUUUUGAUUAAAUUGCUGCAGGGAAUUCUUUGCUGUUUAGAAUAAAGAUCUGCGGAAACUUGGUGCUGUUUUAGAAUAAAUAUCUGCUGAAAAUUGGUGCUGCUUUAGAAAAUAAAUCUGCAGAAAAUUAGUGCUGUCUUAGAAAAAACUCUGCUGAAAAUUUUUUGUUGUAUGAGAUGGCUUUGGAUUCAUGUUUGUUUGAUAUCAGGAACAUUAGGGCAUGACAAAAACAACCGAUCUUAACUGUAUUAAAACUGAACUUACAUAAGUGUAAUUGUCAUCCACUUUUUUCUAA
rnacentral:lncRNA from 1 species